UACGUAGGGUGCAAGCGUUGUCCGGAAUUAUUGGGCGUAAAGAGCUCGUAGGCGGUCUGUCGCGUCUGCUGUGAAAACUCGGGGCUUAACCCCGGGCCUGCAGUGGGUACGGGCAGACUAGAGUGCGGUAGGGGAGACUGGAAUUCCUGGUGUAGCGGUGAAAUGCGCAGAUAUCGGGAGGAACACCAAUGGCGAAGGCAGCUUGCUGGGACGGUACGUGACGCUGAGACGCGAAAGCGUGGGGAGCAACAGGG
rnacentral:rRNA from 1 species